UACGUAGGGGGCUAGCGUUGUCCGGAUUUAUUGGGCGUAAAGAGCGUGUAGGCGGCCAGAUAGGUCUGCUGUGAAAACUCGAGGCUCAACCUCGAGAUGUCGGCGGAAACCAUUUGGCUAGAGUCCGGAAGAGGAAAGUGGAAUUCCUGGUGUAGCGGUGAAAUGCGCAGAUAUCAGGAAGAACACCCGUGGCGAAGGCGGCUUUCUGGGACGGUACUGACGCCGAGACGCGAAAGCGUGGGGAGCGAACAGG
rnacentral:rRNA from 1 species